AAAGCGUUCGUCUUUAAGACACUCUCGAAAUGAAGCACCUUCUCCCUAUGCUUCUCGAUCUUCUUCCUAAUCGGAACAUCCGUAGACUUGUCGACAUAGAAGAGCGACUCAUCUGGAACUGAGGUAAGUGGUCCACCGGAGAGGGCAUCCUUAGUAGUCUUGAUAAAAUAAUCGUCAAUAUCAUCUGUGCUUAUAUUCGCCCUCCACGCCUUCUUCCCUUUCCGCGAUCCCUUUGAUUUUUUCCCCAUUGUUUAGGUGACUACAACUGGCCAAGGAAUCAGCUAAAGAAGAAAAGGGAGAACCGGAGAAGAACCUUAAAUGAACCUCCAAUCUCGCCGGAUUUUGCCGUCAGGAAUCGAAUAGAGAAAUCGGAUAUAGG
rnacentral:lncRNA from 1 species